CACGCACACACAUGCUGCGAAUUACACCUGGUAGGACACGCACACAACUGCUGCGAAUUAUACCUGGUAGGACACGCACACAACUGCUGCGAAUUAUACCUGGUAGGACACGCACACAACUGCUGCGAAUUACACCUGGUAGGACACGCACACAACUGCU